GGACAGACAGAGAAUUGCAACUAGAAAUUCGAUCUAUUGGUACGAGACACCACGUGCUCGCGGGCUGGCCAAUGACCAGGACGCCCGGGAUGAGCUAAUAAUGGAAGCAAUUUGUAACUUUCAGUAGCUCUCUAGGCCUAGGUACCGGUGGGAGGGAGGCUGGCGGAGGGGGGGACAGCACCCCCAGUUUUUCUGCCCAGCUUGUUUGUCUGGGGAAACUCGGAGCCCCUGGCCCUCCUUUUCCCUUACGAGCAAUCUCGAGCAGAGUUCUUCGUUCACUCCUGACCGGACACACAGCCAGAUUCCUCCAUCUCAGAAGUCACACCUUCCAUAAUUCUCAGCUUUAAAUCAGCCCGCCCCCAGCCUCAGAGGGGUGCCUGGGAAGAAGAAUCAAGACUGACCUAUUCCUACACUGUCCCAACUGGGGACACCCCCAUCUGUUUCCAAAGUCAGCUGAGAUAGAACUCCCGGAAAAGAAAUACAAUGUUUACUUUCACUUUACUUUUGAUCAAGCUGGUUUCUCCAGUGGUGGGGGAAUCCUUUUGUGUUUGUUUGUUUUUUUUUAGACAACAUCUUACUAUGUAGCCUUGUCUGGCCUGAAAGUCAACUAUGUAGACCAGGCUGACUUCCAACUCUGAGCUCCACUUGCCUGUGCCUACCAAGUGCUGGGAUUAAAAGUCUGUGCCGUCACUCCUGGCUAAUUUUCUCUUUUAAAAGAUAUUACUAAGAAGGCAAACUAUUAGAGUGUGUAAUCUAGAGUUCUAAUCUACUCAGAAUUAUUGAAGCGUACAAAAGUUAGAUUGCAAGAGUAACUCACACUCUGGGGAGAUGGGAAGAUGGCUCAGGGUGACUGCAUUUGUAUCUCUGUGCUGGGCAGAAGAGUAGCUGCUCCUCCCUCUGGUUCCAGCCCCAUUGUCACAUUGACAUUCUGGGCACAUGUGGCCCAGCCCCCACCCGCUCCUCCAAGUAUGAAUCUAAAUUACUAUUAAUAAGGGGCUGCUCCAAGCUAAUUGGCAUUAAAAGAAUUCAUUUCAAUUUGUUAAUAUUAAAUGAACACUCUGCACUUUAGCUCCCUUCCUCGCCCUGGAUUCCCAGAUGAGUGAUGGGAAGCAGGGCGGGGGAGCAGGCAGGAUUUUAUGUCUGGCUUUCUAGCUUGGCCAUUGCUGGGCCUUCCCUGGGGUUGUGAGACCAGGCAAGGUGGAGACCUGAUGGGGAGAAAUAGGUCUUAUUCUUUAUCAUCCUGUAAAGCAGGAGCUGUGGGUUAAGGGUGGGUGAAUGAGGGUCAAAGGAGAGACACAAAAAGAUUUAGGGGUUAGUGUGGUAGAGAAAGGCAGCGGCUAGGAGACUAAGAAGGAAAGUCAGUGGGCUGAAUAGAAAUUUCAAAACACAGGGAUUGUGGGUAAUGGGUGAGUUAGAUUUAGGAGGAAAGGCCCAUGCAGCUGAAAAUCCAACCCCAGGGUUUAAGGCAGCAGCUGUGGUCCUGCAGUUGCUAGCAUGGGACCUUGGACUUUUCUGUCAUUUCAGUUUCUGGUCUGUGAAGCAAGGAUUGUAUAAUGAAGGAUCUGUCUUAGGGUUGUCUGAGAUUCCAUGAGACACACAUGAUGUAUUCUGCAUGGUGCUGGGUACAUAGAUAUAUGCACUACUACAUGUUGGCUCACUUUCUGAACCAGUAGCUGCUGGAUUGGACUCCCAGACCUGACUUGAAUUAGUUGUAUGCUCUCCAAGUGGUUAUCUGUUUUCUUAUUGGUAGCAGAGUGAAUAGCUCCUGGGCUCAGGCGUGGAAGGUAGAAGGGCAUUUCGGUGCGAAGUGCCUGGGACAACUCAAGUCUCAUCAUGCUACAUGAAAGCUUCUGUGGCCGAUGUUGCCCUUUGGGUGAGUGAGCAAGGUGAAAGUGGGCAGGUUGAGAAGGUUCCUUACAGCUGAGUGCUCUGGGGUUGCCUAGACUGUGAGCACAGCACCUAUUUACCAUCCUUAGAAAUCUGGGGGUGUAGGAAGGCAGCCUGGAGGCUGUAAGGGCUCAGUUCUUCCCUGUCUCCAUUCUGGCUCUUGGGUUGAUAGUACCCUCCUAGCACUCAUCCUCUCGAAAGAAGAAGCCCCUUCCCUUUUCCUCUGGGUGCUAUUGAUGGAGAAUUUGCUCUCUUGACUCCACAUCUCCCUAUAAUGACAGAGAGUCCCCAGAGAGUGGGCUGGGAGAUGGGAGAGAGUCGAAUACUUACUAAACACCCUCUUAUGUUCUAGACCUCACUCAGCAGGAGCCAAAACAAGAUCCAAGGAGAAGGGGACCUGACAAAGUGCAAGGGACAAAGUAUCCACGUUGAAACUUGAGCUCUUUUUUUCCUCUUUACUAUAGAAAAAAUGCACAGGAUGGUUACAUGCUUGUAUAGUAGUCAUGAAGUCUUGACUUUUGGGUUUUGUUAUGAGACAGGAUCUCUCCUGCAGCCCAAGCUGGCCCGAAACUUGCUAUGUAGCAUAGAUGACCUUGGACUUCUGGUUCUCCUGACUCUGCUUCUCAAGUGCUGGGCUCACAGGUAGGAGUUACCAUGUCUGGUCGAUAGAACACACAUCUCAAUGCCUCCUUCCCAUGCUGUAUAUUUCUGAAGGAGGCGGCAAAAGCAAUCGCCUGAAGGGAAAGGCAGCACAUACGUAAAGUCAGGGGCAGGAUGGGGCCAGAUCACUACAGAAGAUGGAGUGUGCAUCGGGGAGGGGGCUAAUAUUCUGAUAUUCCGUCUGAGACUUCCCAGAGCAGGUAACUAUGGGUCAGGAUUUCAGUGGAUGUGAAAGGUAAUGAGGACAGAAAACAUAGGGACGGAGUUACACAUUCUAGAGGAAGGAGAAGAAGAAAAGAUCCUGCCAAGGCUGGCUAAGAGUGGAGAGAUAAAGCACAUCUGCCUUGCUGGCACCAAGUCAAAGCAAUCACCACUCACUGAGGGCACACACUGUGUGUAAGGCACAUAAGAGACCUCAAUUGGUGCUCACAACAGUUUUGACAAGUGGGUUGUAGCACCUCUGAAGGCUCCUGCUCCUGAGAGUCUACGUUGGGUCUUAGCAUAGUUGAUCCGCACAGAACUCAUGCUUAGGAUAAUCACCCUUGCUGUCUGUCCCUCCUUCCAUUCCAGUUUCAGGCUGUCCAGUGGCCCCACUUUUAUAGUCACACUUAGAAACUGGGGGAAAGGGGUUAGCAGUGGGUGAGACCAUGAGAGGGAGUUGUGGUCAGGCAGUGGAGACAGGAACUGUUCUCAUCUCUACACCAAGAAGGAUGAAGGAAUUCUCUAUGGACAGAGCUGCUAAGUCACUCUUCUGGGGCUGCUGCUUGUGGGUGAAUCACAGGGGCCUGACUGGGCUGCAACUCUUCUAGGUGAUGGUUUUUGUGGCUUUUCCCCAGGGACAUCCAGUAGAGAUUUGAGUCAUCAGUAAAGAGUGUCAGUUGUCACAGAAGUCUAUUCUCUGUUUGUAUGACCACAGAGAGCCUUCUAUUCUAACACCACUUCCCAGCAUCCUGGUCAGGUGUGGCCAGUGGAAGCAAGAGCCCAGUGAGGCUGCUCAAGCCCUAGGGCAUGGUAAGUUCUUUGUGCACCAUUUCUCAUGUCAUGGAGGAUACUGAGAUGAGGUCUGGCUAGAAGCUUAAGGAGCAAAGCAACAAUGUUGAGAGGAACCCAAGUCCCCAAGCAACAGGUGGAAGAGAGCUGACUGCACUCUGCUUGCUCCAUUGUACUGCCAUUUCCAUGACAGAUACACUGUUUCCUCUGCCACUGUUUGAGACCUUUUUUUUUUUUUAUAACUUUUAUUGGUUAGCCUUCCUAAUACACUUUCCCACUGCACACCUGCCAACUUAAACUCAUGUUAAGGGUCACACCUGAGGUGGAAUGGUGAUAAUGAUGACAUUAGUUGAGUCAGAGGCUAGGCUAAGAUGUCUAAGUCUGCAUAGCCCUGAAAACCCUCUGAGAAAGUGUUAAAAUUUCCACGUUAUGAAUAAGGUUUAAAGAAAGUAGCCGAGCUGCCUUACACCAUUUAUUUAUUUAUUUAUUUAUUUAUUUAUUUAUUUAUUUAUUUAUUUAUUUUUUGAGAUAGAAUCUGUAAGACAAACUGACCUACAAAAUCACCAUACAGCUCAGGCUGGCCUUGCAUUUACCUCAAUUCUUCUUGCUUUGGCCUUCCAAAUGCUAAACUUGGAGUUGCGAUCCCCCAUGCCUGGUAAUCUUUGAGGGAUGUUGAUAUGAAGUCUAGGCUAACCUUGAAUUCAUAAUCAUCCUGACUCUUAAGUGCUAAGAUUAAAGAUGUGCUCCGUCAUGUUAGACUCUAGGUGCAUUCCUCCUCACCUUGGGCCAAAUCCACUCCUCAGGUUAGAACUAGAAGGAACCUUGGAGAAGAAUCCAUACUAAGUUAAUCAGAGAGGUCUGGGAAUUCCAGUACUUCUCUCAAGAAUCAUGGGGGAUACUCACUUUAAAUGUUGGGGUGCUAUGUAAGGCUUUAACAAAGGAAGGGGGCUAGGCAUGGUGGCACAGACCUAUAAAGCAAGCCCUGAGGAGGAGGAGGCAGCAGGAGUUCAAGAACAACUUCAGCUGUACAAGUUGAACACCCUAUCUCAGAACAACAGAAGAGCCAGACAUUGCAACUGGUCAAAACCUCUGAUGGCUAUGACUCUCUCUGUGCCUCUGGAUAGCCUCGGUCAUCUAGAAUGAGGGGUGUGCACACGUGUUUUUCCUUCCCAAGCCAGAGCUUGGGAGGUCAGACUGCAUUCGGACUCCCAGGCUCCUCCUGUUGGCUAUCUGCCCUGAUGUGCACCUUUUCUCCACCCUCCUUGUCACCAGAUGCUAGGGAAGGCAUGCAGGGGCCAGAGCCAAAGCAGGAAAAGGGACCCCUUAGCCCUCUCUAGUCUUUGCACAUUUCUAUGUGGAACUAGGGCCUCUCUUCCCCUAGGCCACACCUCUUAGCCCACCAGGAAGGAGAAAGGGAAAUUGUCAUAAAUCCCCCUAUUUAUACAAGAAGACAGUGUGUUUCUUGUGCCAGAAAAAACACAGAAAGGGAGCUGUCAGGGAAGAAGGGACCCAGCCCCAGAUCUUGAGGGGUCAAUUUAUCUUCCCCAGUCGUGGCUUGGGGACUACCGCAGCACUAGCUGUGGGAGAUGCAGGCUGGGAGUUGGGGGGCAGCCAGGAUAGCACUGCAUAGCCUUUGUUUCUGACCUCAGCCUUUCUGCUUCAUCUGAGAGGCUCCCUUCCCUGACACUCUUUUUUCAAAACAACUUUCCUAAGGUGUAACUCACACGGAGCACAACCCUACUUGGAACGGACAGUUCAUGGCUUUAGAAUUUCCAUGGACAUGUGCAACUGACAGCACAAUCGGUAUAAGAGUAUUCUGAGUCCUCAGAGAGCAGCCUCCUGCUCACAGGACUGCGAUAGGAAUGGCUUCAUGCAGUAGGUGGCCUUCUGUGAUUGGUUCCUUUUCCUUGGUUAUGCCAUGUCAAAGCACACAACUACCCUUGUUCCUUCUCACGGAUAAGUGACUUCAACGGUUGACAGACCACAUUCUGGGUAUGUAUUCAUCAGUACAUGGGCAUUUGGGUGUUCCCAUGUCCAGACAUUAUGAUUCUCUAUGUCUUUAGACAGUUUGAAUCAUCUAGAGUGAUGUCUGUGGCCAGAAAGAAGCCUGACUUGUGAGUGGGAGCCUCCGGUGUCCAUGGAAGCCAGGCCUUUGCACUUGGUUCUGGUGCUUCUCCCCGGGUUAAAUUGCUGAGGAUGGCCUCCUUUAUCCAGUAGCUCUCCCUUUGGACCCAUGCUGUCCUGAGACCCCUCUCCUGCAGCUCCAGAGUCUAAGUGGAUAAACAGAAAUACUUCCCCAAGGACGGCCCCAUGCAAUCCUUUGUGCCAGUAAAUGGAAACCCCUGGGCCAAGGGAAAGUCAAAUUCUUGAGGGUGUGGCUGCUUCAGAGUCCAUCCAGGUCUCCUUCCCAUGUCCCCACCUCACCUCUCUCAGUCUACUCUUUCUACUGACACCAGACCCUGCCCUACCUGCAUCAACCCUGCUAUACCAGUGGGACCAGCAGGAUGCGUACAAGAAGUCCAAAUAGUGCCAGGUUGCAUUUGUUGAACGAGUGGAUGAGGGAUGACUCCUUACUCUGGGAAUGCACUGUGGAGAGAAUCAGUUAGAAAGCCUCUUUCUGGCUGGGGAUUUAGCUCAGUGGUAG
rnacentral:sRNA from 1 species